rnacentral:rRNA from 1 species
CUACGGGCGGCACCAGUGGGGAAUCUUGGGCAAUGGGCGAAAGCCUGACCCAGCGACGCCGUGUGGAGGACGAAGGCCUUCGGGUCGUAAACUCCUGUCGGGAGGGAAAAAACUCUUUCCGGUGAACAAUCGGAGAGAUUGAUGGUACCUCCAGAGGAAGCCCCGGCUAACUACGUGCCAGCAGCCGCGGUAAUACGUAGGGGGCGAGCGUUGUCCGGAAUUACUGGGCGUAAAGCGCAAGUAGGUGGGGAGGUAAGUUCUGUGUGAAAGACCCCGGCUUAACCGGGGGGCCGCAUGGGAUACUGCCUUUCUUGAGGGAGGGAGAGGAGAGCGGAACUGCCGGUGUAGCGGUGAAAUGCGUAGAUAUCGGUAGGAACACCCGUGGCGAAAGCGGCUCUCUGGCCCUUUUCUGACGCUCAAUUGCGAAAGCGUGGGGAUCAAACGGGAUUAGAUACCCGUGUAGUC